CGCCUGCCCAGUGAAAAAUUAAACGGCCGCGGUAUCCUAACCGUGCAAAGGUAGCAUAAUCAUUUGUCUACUAAUUAUAGACCUGUAUGAAAGGCAAAAUGAGGGUCUAACUGUCUCUUAUAAUAAAUCAAUUAAACUGAUCUUCUAGUAAAAAAGCUAGAAUAACAACAUUAGACCAGAAGACCCUGUGAAGCUUAAACUAAACUAUUAACCUAAAUAAUAACUACUUUCGGUUGGGGCGACCUUGGAAUAAAAAAGAACUUCCAAACUAAAUUACUAAUAAUUAACCAGGCUAACAAGCCAAACUACGACCCAGUAUAACUGACAAAUGAACCAAGUUACUCCAGGGAUAACAGCGCAAUCUUCUUCAAGAGCCCAUAUCAAAAAGAAGGUUUACGACCUCGAUGUUGGAUCAGGACAUCCUAAUGGUGCAGCCGCUAUUAAGGGUUCGUUUGUUCAACGAUUAAUAGUCCUACGUGAUCUG
rnacentral:rRNA from 1 species